UAUAUAGAGAAAUCCUGUCUCGAAAAACCAAAACAAACAAACAAGCAAAACAAACAAAAACAAAUCAGUGAGAUGGCUCAACAGGUUAAGACUUGCUGCUGAGCCCACAGACCUGAAUUCCAUUCCCAGAGCCCACCUAGUAGAAGGAGAGAGCUGUCUCCCAGAGAUUAUCCUCUGACCUCACUUGCGUGCUGUGGUACAAGAACACCUUCACACAUGCACACAUACACAGAUAAACGAAACAAAAAGCUCAGUGACUAAAGAUGGAGCAUCGGGAACAAUGAAAAAGACUUGUUGGCUAUUAUUAAAUUGAUUAUAUUUAUUGGUUUGUAACUCGGUGUACGAAUGUAUACUAGUCAAUAUUGAUACAGUAAUAACUAGAAUCUCUUUGUAGACGAAAUUAAAGUAAUUUAGGUAGAAUUACUCCCUCCAGAUGGUUAAACUUUAUCUCGCCCUCCUUGAAUAGGGCUAACCAUGGCCCCCCUUUAAGGAUGGGGUGCCUGAAAGGAAAUAGUAUCCCUACCUGCUGCAGAGACAGAUACACCUGGUCCACAUGACUGAAGUAAAUCUGGCUCCUGUGAGAGCACAAGAGGUCCUGUGGAUGACUGUCCCUGACAUUGUGACAGAAGAGUACUUACCUGUGACUGUCUUCUAAAAACUAGUAGCUGCAGUCUAAACAGAAGAGCAUCAAACCCAAAUUGAAGGACAUCCUAUCAAAGGAACUCUUUCAUCAAGGUUGUGAAGAACAUGGAAAACUGAGAAACUUAAGGACGAGCCUGAGGGUUCUUGACACUAAUUAUAAAGUGAUAUAUUUAAUUCCAUCUUAGACCCAUAGCAUAGUGGGAAGACUGGUGAAACCUGAAUAAUGUUUAGAGUUAGGUGGCCAUGUGCCGAUGUCAUGCUCUUAGUUUUAAGAAAUGUAUAUAUUUGACAAAUGUACUGUGUCCGCUGAUAAAAUGGGGAGACUGGGAGAAGGUUGUACAGAAACUCUGCAUUGUCUUUGCAACUUUUCUGUUAAUCUAAAACUAUCCCAAGGCCAGGUGUGGUGCUAUGUGCCUUCAAUCCUAGCACUUAUUAUUAUUAUAAUAAAGUAUUCUGUGCACAUACUAUAACCAUGGACAGUAUAACACUGUUCUGUGUUACGAUCUUGUCCGAUUUUCAGUGUACACACACACAUAUAGCUACUUCAGUCUUAUUUCACAUGUGAGCUAUUGUGAACAAUGCUACAGGGAACGUGGGCAUAUGACACUCUUUGCGGAUAUUAAUUUAUUUCCUUUGUAUAUGAAACAGGAGUGUUAUAGCUGGGUUGUAGAGGCUUUUUUUUUUCUCUUUUUGAGGCACCUCCAUACUCUUUUUUUUUCCAUAGCAACUGUACUAGUUUACAUUCUCACCAACGAAGUUUGUACAUACUCCCGUUUCUGUCUGUCCUUCCAACCCUUGUCUCUUGUCUGUUUUGUAAGCAGCAGCAUCCUGACAGGUAUGAAGCCAGAGCAUUGAGUGCCUUUUAAAUGUACAGUUUUGCUAAAUAUCUUUUUUGAGGGGGGGGUUUCAGGACAGGAUUUCUCUGUAUAGCCCUGGCUAUCCUGGAACUCACUCAAUAGACCAGGCUGGCCUCAAACUCAGAAAUCCGCCUGCCUCUACCUCCCGAGUGCUGGGAUUAAAGUCAUGUGCCACCACCGCCUGGCCUGAAUUUCUAUCUAGUUCCUUUCUUUCUCUUGGUCUCCCUGAUCUACCCCUCCUCUACCCCUUACGUGGCUGUGCUAGCUGCUGGGUUAGUCACUGUUAGGAAUUGAGCUCAGGGCUCUCAGUGCAGGCCAGGUCAGCACUUGGUCAGCUGAGCUACACCUUCAGCAAUGGUUUUGUUUAUUUGUUUUGCCUUUGUGCCAUUUGUCCCCAUUCAUCUUUUAUGCUGUUUUAUAUAGACUGUUGUGUGUAUAUAUACACAAAGGGUUUUUAUUUGAUAAUACUAAUUUAUAUGUAGCCAGCUUAUUCUUUAAUCUGGCCUUUCUGCCUAUACAAUCAUUUCAGUUAAAGAUGAAAAUGCUUAU
rnacentral:lncRNA from 1 species